rnacentral:rRNA from 1 species
AACGAACGCUGGCGGCAGGCCUAACACAUGCAAGUCGAGCGCCCCGCGACGGGGAGCGGCAGACGGGUGAGUAACGCGUGGGAAUCUUCCCAGUGGUACGGAAUAGCCCAGGGAAACUUGGGGUAAUACGGUAUAAGCCCGCAAGGGGAAAGAUUUAUCGCCAUUGGAUGAGCCCGCGUUGGAUUAGCUUGUUGUGGGGUAACGGCCACCAAGGCGACGAUCCAUAGCUGGUCUGAGAGGAUGAUCAGCCACACUGGGACUGAGACACGGCCCAGACUCCUACGGGAGGCAGCAGUGGGGAAUAUUGGACAAUGGGGGCAACCCUGAUCCAGCCAUGCCGCGUGAGUGACGAAGGUCUUCGGAUUGUAAAGCUCUUUUGGCGGGGACGAUAAUGACGGUACCCGCAGAAUAAGCCCCGGCUAACUUCGUG